AUGCUCAGAUUGCUAGGAAAUUGGAUAGACCUCCAGAGAAAUUCUCUCCCACGCCUUCCCUGGGGACCAGCCUGUGACACAGGAAUUGGCAAGAAUCUAAUUUCACCGGAAGGUUUGCUGAAGCAUUAUCACCAGACAGCCAGAAUGAUUGAUGAGUGCUUUUCAGGAAGGGAAAUGCUUCCAGCUUGGUUUGUGGGAAGGAGUAAAUUGAACCACAUCAGUAAUGCCACCAUCCAGUUUCUGGUAUACAAGUUUGGAAGUUGGAUGAAGAGGCAGAGAACAGGGCCAUUACGUGACCCAGCCUAUGCCCCUUGUGCCAGAGAUGGAAUGAGAAUAAACAGAAUUGAGGUGGCCCCCACUCCUACGGACACAGCUCUUUCACCUAUACGGUUUUCUUCUGUAUUUCCUGAUAUAAGUCUCCCCCUGACCCCACUGGAAUGCAUGGAUUUGCAUUUGUUCUUCCAGGAGUGUCUAACUGGAUGUCCUCUGCAAAUUCAUCAAAUGUGCCAUCUUUUCCAUCAUGUGGUCAUCCCUGGGAUCAUCAUCGAACAUCGUUCUCCACCACUCUGGUCCAUGGAUGGUUGUUCUCUUUUGUCCAUUCCAUCAAAUGUCCUGAACACUGUCAGAAGAGGGAAAAGGCUAAUGGAGCUGUUAAGUCUAAGUAUGACUGCCAAGAUGAAUCCAAAAAAGCCAAAGAGCCUGAGCAUGUCAGACCUUCCUGCAGCCUGCCACACACACUUAAAACCCCAGGGAAAUGAGUGCGGCUCAGGAGGGGGGAAGAGCGCCAACCAGUCAGAUUGCUCAAUCCCAAGACAAAGAACUCGUGGAUCAUGGGCUAGAAAAAAGGGUUAA
rnacentral:lncRNA from 12 species